ACCACGUUGAUGGCGCAGGCCAACCGGCCG
rnacentral:sRNA from 1 species